GGGCCCGUAGCUCAGCCUGGUAGAGCGGCGGGCUCUUAACCCGUAGGUCGUGGGUUCGAAUCCACCGGGCCCG
rnacentral:tRNA from 1 species